AAAAAAGAAGCAAAAAGCUCCGAUGCCGGGAAUCGAACCC
rnacentral:sRNA from 1 species